rnacentral:snoRNA from 1 species
AUGAGACUCCUCUCACUGUUCUGAUUUUGUAAUAAUCAGGACAGGCUAAACAUUCGCUAUGUUAAGACCACGCAUGUGUCUCCAGACCUAGUUCUUUCCCUAGGUCUAGUUUUAUAAAUGCUGGUGAUAAAC